UUCUAGCCCCCGAUAGAAGUGGAAAUCCUUUUACUUUUUUCUUUAAAAAGUAAAAGAUUGGAACGAAUAGCGGGAUUAGCU
rnacentral:sRNA from 1 species